rnacentral:tRNA from 1 species
GCGAGAGUGGCGAAAUUGGUAGACGCGCAGGAUUUAGGUUCCUGUGACUUCGGUCUUGCGGGUUCGAUUCCCGUCUCUCGCA